AAAGAAGAAAGGGAAAACUCAUCGGAGGAAGAACAAGAAAAGGAAGCAAUCCAAUCAAGCAGCAGCUGCUGUCUGAUGAUUCUUGUACAAGGAACAAGAACAGUGUAGCAUAAGCCAGUUUGUCCAGUGUAAGCUCUAAGCAAAAUAUAUUAUACUGUACUAGUUAGCUAUCAAUUUUGUUUUCCUUUAUCCUAAAAAAAUUUUCGUGCCAUGUAGGGCAGACUACGUAUAACAAUUCAUACAUAACUAAUCGCAACUAGUUGGGAAUGGAGA
rnacentral:misc_RNA from 1 species